AAUUUUUUUUUUUUUUAUUUUUUGGUAUUGCAUAUCAGUAAAUGUUUUUAUCAUAUUUUAUGAAUAAUAGAAAUAAAGUGUUAAGGAUAGUUUUUUUUUAUUUUUACAAAAUUAAUAAUAAUUAUUUUUAGUAUUUAUAAAACGUAUUUUUAUUUCUGUUUGUUUAUUUUUAUUGUUAAAUUAUAUAUUUUUUUAAUUUUUUUGUUUUAAAUUUUUUUAUGUUUUGAUGUUGUGUUUUACAUAUAUUUUUUUGUUUUUGUGUUUUAUUUUUUUAUGAUUAAUUUUUUAAUUAUUUUAUAAUUUUUACUUUAGUAAUUUUUUUAUAUAAAAAUUUGUUUUUUUAAUUUUUAUUUUAAAACUAAAAUUAUUGCUAAAUGUUUAUUAAAAACUUAGGUUUUUUUAUAAAGUUGUCUUCUGCUCUAUGACGAUUGUUAAAUGGCAGCCUUAGCGUGAUGGCAUAAAAGUAGCGUAAGUGAUUUGUUUUUUUAUUGAUUUCAAGUAUGAAUGAAGUUUUUAGCAAUUUUUUUUCUUUUAUUAUAAUUGAAUUAUUUUUUUAAUUAAAAAUUAUUAAUUAAGUUACUACAAAGAUAAGUCUUCGGAAAUUUUUUUUUAAAUAUUAAUUUUUUAUUAUAUUUAAUAUUUUCUUGGGGCUGGGUUUUAGAAAAAAUUAAAACUAUUUUUAUUAUUAAAAAUUACUCCGGAGUUAACAGGGUAGCAGACAUAUAAGUAGGUUUUUAUACUAUUGUGCUGCGCUACAUCGAUGUUGUAUAUUUUUUAUGAAAAGUAAGAGAAUUUUUUUUUUUUGAAACUGUUCUUCUUGUAUAAAAAUAAAACUUGAUAUUAGUUUAGUUCGUCGUGAGACAGAGCGGUUUAUCUUGUGUAUCUUUUGUUUUUACUGGAACUAGUACGAAAGGAAAGUUAUAGAGGUUAAUAUUUAUGACUUUUAUAUUU
rnacentral:rRNA from 1 species